GUAGUCAUAUGCUUGUCUCAAAGAUUAAGCCAUGCAUGUCUAAGUAUAAGCAAUUAUACGGCGAAACUGCGAAUGGCUCAUUAUAUAAGUUAUCGUUUAUUUGAUAGUACUUUACUACUUGGAUAACCGUGGUAAUUCUAGAGCUAAUACAUGCUUAAAAUCCCGACUUCGGAAGGGAUGUAUUUAUUAGAUUAAAAACCAAUGCCCUUCGGGGCUCCUUGGUGAUUCAUGAUAACUUCUCGAAUCGCAUGGCCUUGUGCCGGCGAUGGUUCAUUCAAAUUUCUUCCCUAUCAACUUUCGAUGUUUGGGUAUUGGCCAAACAUGGUUGCAACGGGUAACGGAGGGUUAGGGCUCGACCCCGGAGAAGGAGCCUGAGAAACGGCUACUACAUCCAAGGAAGGCAGCAGGCGCGCAAAUUACCCAAUCCCGACUCGGGGAGGUAGUGACAAUAAAUACUGAUACAGGGUUCUUUUGGAUCUUGUAAUUGGAAUGAGUACAAUUUAAAUCCCUUAACGAGGAA
rnacentral:rRNA from 1 species